rnacentral:rRNA from 1 species
UCUCUGUCAUUACAGAAAGCACCUCCUGCUCCAUGUCACUUAAUAGCCGCAGACAUCUGUGCUAAGGUAGCACAAUCACUUGCCUUUUAAUUAAAGGAUCGUAUGAAAGGACAAAUGACUCUUUCAAUGUAUCUCACAUUUCUUACAAAAUUCACUUAUAAGUAAAAAGGCUUAUAUAAAAAGGAAAGACGACAAGACCCUAUAGAACUUCACAUAUGUUUAACUGGGGCGGUCAACAACUAAAUCUUAAAUCCUACACCACCACACAGACCUGUUAAUAACAACAUAAGGAACAAGUUACCUUAGGGAUAACAGAGGAAUUUUCUUUCAAAUGAUAUCUAAAAGAUAGCUUCCUACCUCGAUGUUGAAUUAAUAUAUCUUCAUAACAAAACGUUAUACAAGUUGGUCUGUUCGACCAUUAAAAUAUUACAUGAUCUGAGUUCAAACCGGAGA